rnacentral:tmRNA from 1 species
GGGGGCGAAAGGACUCGACGGGGAGCGGAAAGCACAGGUGGCACGCCGAGGCUGCCCGGAACCUCGUUAAUCACCGGGCCGCUUGAACAAGCGCCAACAACGACUUCGCUCUCGCUGCCUGAUCGAGGCGGCGCGCCCGCCCGCCCCUGCCCGUGGGGGCGGUCCCGGGUGUCAUAGCUCACGGGCUGGCCGUCGCAUCGCUGGCCCGGCGGUGCGCGGCGAGAUCGACGGGCUGGCGACCCGGGCACCUGCCCUUCGGUUCCCGGGGAGCGAGAUCUGGAAGAAGCGGCUAAGCGUGUAGAAGCCUGUCGCCGACCCUCCUCGGACGCGGGUUCGAUUCCCGCCGCCUCCACCA